GACGAACGCUGGCGGCGUGCUUAACACAUGCAAGUCGAACGGUAAGGCUCCAGCUUGCUGGGGUACACGAGUGGCGAACGGGUGAGUAACACGUGGGUGACCUGCCCUGCACUUCGGGAUAAGCCUGGGAAACUGGGUCUAAUACCGGAUAGGACCGCACCGUGAGGGUGUGGUGGAAAGUUUUUUCGGUGUGGGAUGGGCCCGCGGCCUAUCAGCUUGUUGGUGGGGUAAUGGCCUACCAAGGCGGCGACGGGUAGCCGGCCUGAGAGGGUGGACGGCCACAUUGGGACUGAGACACGGCCCAGACUCCUACGGGAGGCAGCAGUGGGGAAGAUUGCACAAUGGGCGGAAGCCUGAUGCAGCGACGCCGCGUGGGGGAUGACGGCCUUCGGGUUGUAAACUCCUUUCACCAUCGACGAAGGGUUUCUGACGGUAGAUGGAGAAGAAGCACCGGCUAACUACGUG
rnacentral:rRNA from 1 species